rnacentral:rRNA from 1 species
AGCGAACGCUGGCGGCAGGCCUAACACAUGCAAGUCGAACGGAUCCUUCGGGAUUAGUGGCGGACGGGUGAGUAACACGUGGGAACGUGCCUUUUGGUUCGGAACAACUCAGGGAAACUUGAGCUAAUACCGGAUGUGCCCUUCGGGGAAGGAUUAUCGCCAUUAGAGCGGCCCGCGUCUGAUUAGCUAGUUGGUGAGGUAAAGGCCCACCAAGGCUACGAUCAGUAGCUGGUCUGAGAGGAUGAUCAGCCACAUUGGGACUGAGACACGGCCCAAACUCCUACGGGAGGCAGCAGGUGGGGAAUCUUGCGCAAUGGGCGAAAGCCUGACGCAGCCAUGCCGCGUGAAUGAUGAAGGUCUUAGAUUGUAAA